rnacentral:rRNA from 1 species
AGAGUUUGAUCAUGGCUCAGGACGAACGCUGGCGGCGCGCUUAACACAUGCAAGUCGAGCGAGAACCGGCCUUCGGGCCGGGGAAAGCGGCGAACGGGUGAGUAACACGUGGGUAAUCUGCCCUUGGUACCGGGAUAGCCCGGGGAAACCCGGAUUAAUACCGGAUGGCCCUUUGAAUUCACGGAUUCAAAGGAAAAGGUAGCUUCGGCCUCCGACCGAGGAUGAGCCCGCGGCGGAUUAGCUUGUUGGUGGGGUAACGGCCUACCAAGGCGACGAUCCGUAGCUGGUCUGAGAGGACGAUCAGCCACACUGGGACUGAGACACGGCCCAGACUCCUACGGGAGGCAGCAGUGGGGAAUCUUGCGCAAUGGGCGAAAGCCUGACGCAGCGACGCCGCGUGAGGGAAGAAGGCCUUCGGGUUGUAAACCUCUUUCAGGAGGGACGAAGCCACUCGGGUUAAUAGCCCAGAGGGUGACGGUACCUCCAGAAGAAGCCCCGGCUAACUACGUGCCAGCAGCCGCGGUAAUACGUAGGGGGCAAGCGUUGUCCGGAUUUAUUGGGCGUAAAGAGCGUGUAGGCGGCCAGAUAGGUCCGUUGUGAAAACUGGAGGCUUAACCUCCAGCGGUCGAUGGAAACCAUUUGGCUAGAGUCCGGAAGAGGAGAGUGGAAUUCCUGGUGUAGCGGUGAAAUGCGCAGAUAUCAGGAAGAACACCCGUGGCGAAGGCGCUCUCUGGGACGGUACUGACGCUGAGACGCGAAAGCGUGGGGAGCGAACAGGAUUAGAUACCCNNGUAGUCC